CCUACGGGCGGCAGCAGUUAGGAAUAUUGGGCAAUGGAGGAAACUCUGACCCAGCAACGCCGCGUGUAGGAAGAAGGUUUUCGGAUUGUAAACUUCUGAUCUUUGGGACGAAGAAAGUUACGGUACCACAGGAGAAAGCCACCGCUAACUACGGGCCAGCAGCCGCGGUAAUCCGUAGGUGGCGAGCUUUGUCCGGAAUAACUGGGCGUAAAGGGAGCGUAGGUGGUGGAUUAAGUUAAAUGUGAAAGCCCCGGGCUUAACCGUGGAACUGCAUUUAAUACUGGUCGGCUAGAGUACAGGAGGGGUGAACGGAAUUUCUAGUGUAGCGGUGAAAUGCGUAGAGAUUAGGAAGAACACCGGAGGCGAAGGCGGUUUACUGGACUGCAACUGACACUGAGGCUCGAAAGCGUGGGGAGCAAACAGGAUUAGAUACCCCGGUAGUC
rnacentral:rRNA from 1 species